UUUUUUUUUUUUUUUCGUUUAGUGUUUUGUGUCUGUAUUGGAGCUCUGAUUGAAUUCGAUGCAUAUGGUAGAACUCAUUUAAGGGUAGCGCUCCCAAUAUGAUUUUCUUCAUAUUCAAGAUUCGAAUCAAAAGGCGCUGCACCUUAUAUUACAUAUAAGGAAAUUAUUACCUUAUAUAUACAAAUGAUCAAGUUGGACGAAUUAAUCCUUUUAUCUCAUUGGUAAAGUGAAACUAUAUACUAUAUAUAUGUUUGUGAAAAAGAAUAUUCAUUUAUAAUGAUCAAACUAAAUUGUGGUCCACUGGUUGUUGAAGUUUAAAUUAUUUUCAGUGCUCCCUAUGCCACAGCAAAUAAUAUUCAUGAGAUCAUUUCAUGUGUAUAAAUAAUUUCUUACUAUGUCAAUUAUUACAAAUAUAUAAAUUAUAAUAAUGAAUGAUCAAUUUGCUACUUUUUCAUUUCAUGCACCAUCCGUUUGGUCUUAGUUUCUUAUGUUAAUACUUCACUUUGUAUAUUGUAAAUAUCACUAUAUGCAAAGUAAAAAUAGAAUUGAUCCGCAUGUUUCUCUAAUAUUUCAAUUGAAAAUGUUAGCUUUUGUCGAUGAGAUCGAGGUAUUACUAUCAGUAGGGGCUCGCUUCAAUAGUGGACUUUGAACCUUUGCUUUUCCUUUCAAUUUCCAAUUUCGAAUAUCACGAUUUGCCUAGAAUAAUCGAUAUAUGUGAUUGCAAUUUAAAAGAAAAACUAAUAAAUAAAAAAACACUAGAUGAGUUUACGUACGUCUAUGUAUUUUUUUAGUCGUCUCAUUUCACAUACAAAAACAUUUAGAUCACUUAUUUUGGAUAUUAUACUAGUGUAUCUUUACCGUUUUUUAAUUCCUAUUUCAAAAUUAUCACAUUUAUUUUAUUUGGUGAUUCGAACCCACAAUUCUUAGAUUGAAGAUUGAUGAUUUUUACCAUUCGAACAAUUUCUUGUCAAAUGUAUAUUGAUGUUCUUUGUGGAGACAUAAAUGAUGCAAAAAAUCAAACCAUGAGUUGAAGCCUAGAUUUAAUAGUACGAUUUGUGUACUAUAUGUUAUAAGGCAAUGUCAUAAUUCAAGGAAAAUGAGGACUAUUUGCGUCAUGAUGUUUGAUUCAAAAUGAUGAGAUUUUCCACAUAUUUUAUUGCUCUCAAUGUAAGAAUUUCAUUAUUAGAAUUAAAAAUAAUUACAACUAAUACUUUUAGGUAAGAGUUAGAAAUUUAUAUUUGAAUUAUAUAUUAAAUAAAAACUUAACUUUUUGAAUAACUUGAUUAUUUUAAAAUAAAAAAUAAAUUGUUGAAUAUCAUACAACAGUGUGUUGCCUAAGUUAUGUUGGAAAACAGUUGUAAAAUUACUUAGUAUCACAUGAGGGGUGUUUGAUUCGAAUACAAGUUAUAUUGUAAUUAGUUAUUUUAAUAAUUUUUUUUUAUAAUAAAUGAUUUGUUAUAUUAAAAAUAACAUGCAAUGCAUUGUUGAAGGAAGCUUGAAGACUGAUGGAACAUGUCGAAGUAACAGGUCCAUCGAAGCAGGCUGAUGAGUUAGAGUUAGAGUCAUACUAGGACUAGACUACUAAAUCCUAAGUUAUGUACGACUAAGCUACUGAAUAUUGUAGGAGUCGACUAGGAUAAAGUAUUUGACUUGUAAUACAAUACUACUCAUGUAAUUAAUUGUGUUGUAGUAGGAUUCCUAGUAUAACUAGAAUAAGACUCUUCUCCUAUAUAAGGAGCUUGUAACUCAACAUUAUAAUCAUCAAUACAAUCCUUGAUUUCUCCAUACUUACGGGAGAAUUCUACAUGGUAUCAGAGCAAUGAAACUUUUCCGCUCUUUAAUGUAUUAGAUCAAAAUAAAAAACAUCCAAAUUAUCAAACCGCGAUGGCCCCUUCUACCAACACCCUUUCGACCUCUUCACUUCAUCAUCUUCUUUCGUCCUGCUCCAUUAAACUUAAGCCAACAAACUAUCUUAUGUGGAGGACACAAAUGACUCAGUUGAUUCAAGUGAUGAGAUUAACCUACCUCAUCACAGAACCACCUAAAGUGACCUAUUCCACUGGACAGAUUACUGAGAAAAUUGUAGCAGGCGAGAAGGGUGCAAAAGACAACAACAUUGUUGAUGACUGGGAGGAGAAGGAUGUGUUACUAAGGAGCUAGAUCGCAGGCACAUUGACAAAAGAAAGAAUGUACCUGAUCGUAGGUUGUUCAACUGCCAAAGAGAUGUGGGAAUGCUUGGAAGAAGCUUAUCUUCAAGCAACAAAAGAUAAGGAGUUCCAGCUCAAGCAACAACUGCAAAGUGUGAAGCUAGGAACCAAAACAAUUGAUGAAUACAUUAAGGAAUUCAAAGGCAUAUGUGAUGGCCUUGCAUCCAUUCAUAAGCCUGUAGGUGAAGAUAGCAAAUUGAUUAAUUUUGCUUGAGGUCUAGGUCCUAAGUACAAGACCUUCAGGACUGUCAUGCUAGGUAAGGCACCAUAUCCUACUCUUAAUCAAUUUGUUAAUGCUCUCAAGGAUUUUUUAUAUGAGGGAGGAUGAAGAAGACGUGCCACAACAAAACCAUAGCAUGGCAUUAUCUGCCCAAAGGGGCAGGGGAAGAGGAAACUACUCUCAAAGAAGAGGAAACAAUAACUUCAAUUCCAGAGGAAGAGGCUUCAAGCCUGUUGGACAAGGAAUAUGUUCUUAUAACAGCAGAAACAGACCAGGUCCUCAGAACAGUCCUUCAAGUGGAAGUCAUGAGGGGAACAAUUCUGAUGCGUGUAAAAUUUGUGGUAGGAAUAACCAUACUGCUCUUAAGUGUUUUUACAAGCGGGAUUACUCUUACCAAGCCACAGAUGAGCUACCAUAGGCAUUGGCUGCUACUAAUCUACAAAACACUACUGAUGACACCUUAUAUGUGGACUCAGGAGCAAGUAGCCAUAUGACACAUAACUUAGGUAUCCUAACUGAUCUUAAACACUACAAUGGACCAGAUCAAAUAAUUGUUGGAAAUGGAUCAAAGUUAGACAUAACACAUGUUGAGAACAAAUCUGAAACAGGUCUAAAAUUAAAAGAAGUUCUUGUAGUUCCUAAGAUCAAUAAAAUUUUCUCUUAGUUAGUAAGCUUGCAAAGGAUAAUUGUUGUACUCUUGAAUUUGAUGAAACUAACUUUGUUGUAAAGGACAAGAGGAGAAGGACACUGCUGGCCAAAGGAUCUAAAAGGAAUGGACUCUAUGCUUUGAAAGAUAACAAUCUCUAUGUUUUAACUGCUGCACACGAUUGGAACACGUCAAACAACAUGUGGCAUACUAGAUUAGGACACCCUAGUUUGAAGUCUUUAAAAGUUUUGAGUAGUAAUAGUUGCAUCAGUAUUAGUAGUUGGAAUAAAAUGUCUAUUGUUUGUUCUAGUUGUCAGUUGGGAAAGAGUUGUAAACUUCCUUUUGGUUUGAGAAAUUUUUUUGAGAAAGAGCCUUUAUUGAAAAUUCAUUGUGACUUAUGGGGACCUGCUCCUGUCGAAUCUUCCUAACAUAUGAAAUAUUAUGUCGUUUUUGUUGAUGAUCACACAAGAUAUACAUGGAUUUAUCCACUGAAAAAGAAAUCUAAAUUCUUUGAGGUCUUUCUAAAAUUUCAGACAAAGGUGGUAAAACAAUUUUCUAAAGAGAUUAAGAUUUUUCAGUGUGAUGGAGGUGGUGAGUUUAUCCAAACAGACUUCAUUAAGCAGUUGGAAGAUUAUGGCAUUGUGAGACAUAUUUCAUGUCCUAACACACCUGAACAAAAUGGAGUUGCAGAUAGAAAACAUAGACAUAUUGUGGAGACUGGCUUAACUCUACUACUAAACUAACCUACCUUUGUUUCUAUAGGUUGAGGCUUUCGUCACUGCAGUAUUCCUUAUCAAUAGACUGCCUUCAUCAGUCCUAAAGAUGGUGACUUAAUUUGUUAAGUUGUAAGGGGAACAACCUAAUUACAGUAGCCUAAAAAUGUUUAGGUGUAGAUGUUUUUAUAUAUCAAGGGUAGCAAUAAGUUCAGUCCAAAGACCUACCCUUGUGUGUUCAUAGGGUACAACAACUUACACAAAGGACAUAGAUGCUAUCAUCCCUCUACAAGGAGAGUUUACAUAUCCAGACAUAUUGUGUUUGAUGAAAACACAUUACCCUAUGUGUCUCCAAAGCAAUCUCAUAUUAACAUUGAUGUCUCACCUCACCUUGCUACUUUUGUUGAAUCUUUCUCUAAACUGCUAGCACAAGAUAAUCUGAUUCAGGGGAAGUACAAGUUGCUAGUCCAUACAUUAAUAGUGAUAAUGCUGCUACAACUCAUAUACUCCUUAGUGAUGUGAGUACUAUUGACCUCUCAGGCGCAGGAUCAAAUGCUGAGGAACAGGUUGAAGGUGAUGAUCCAUACAGUAGUAUUGAAACUCCAGCUAAAGAUUUUGAAUCUGCCAGUAAUAGUGAGGAACAAGUUGCUCUUACAGGUCCAACCAAUGAUCAUCAUCCAACAACCACUUUAGUUGAUGUACCAGUUGAUCAUCAACCUGACAAUGCUACACUCUAGUCAACUACCUUGAUUGAUGUACCAGUUAAGGUACUCCAUGCACCACAAGGGCAUCAUAUGAUCACCAGGCACAAGGCGAAGGAACAUCACUUGUCACUUGUUGCUCGCAGCAGCACAAUAAUUGUGAGAGAACCAAAUACUACUAAGGAAGCACUAAGAUCACCUCAGUGGCUUGCAACAAUGCAUGAAGAAAUUGAUGUUUUACAUACUAACAAGACAUGGGUUUUGGUGCCCAAAUCUCCUGGUAUUAACUUGGUUGGCUCAAAAUGGGUGUUCAAGACAAAAUUAAAAGAUGAUGGGACAGUAGAUAGAUACAAGGCCAGACUUGUGGCAAGGGGAUUCUCGCAAUUUGAAGAGAUAGAUUUUGAAGAAACAUUUAGUCUUGUGGUUAAAGUUACAACUAUUGGUGUCACUCCCCAAACUCGAGGGGCGCAACUGGCUCCUAAUGCCAAAACUUAGGCCCGAGCCGACCCCGCUGAACCAUUUGCUACUAGCGCAUGGCAAUCAUACACAAUCAAGAAAACAAACAAAUAUAUCUCGGCUUAAAACUAACCCUCGGCCGGCAAGGCCCCUGUCAACUAAUCUAUAAAAGAAACAGCUACUCCUAGGAGAUCAUAUUAAUAAAUAGUCAACUAGCACAGAAGUCCUGAUUGGACCGUCGAGGCCACCAUGAUAUCUAUACCAAAACAAAAGGCAGGUAUAUAUCAAUACAAUACAUCAAACAACUCACAAGCUUCAGCAAACCAAUAACAUAGGCCAGUAUGGCCAUAACAUAGCUAUACACCCCACACACUAGUCUACAAGCCUAUAAGAGUAGUCAAGAUUAGCGGGACAGGGCCCCAGCCUACCCAUAAAUAUAUAUACAAUAAAAGGUAAUAAACCUCCCAACUCUGGCAGCUCAGGAGGAAAGGGGCUAGCCAACCGGAUAAAAGUCAAUCCUGCUGCUGAGGAGGUCUACUCGGUCGUCUGUCAGGACCUGCAUGCAUGAAUGCAGCGCCCCCAGGCAAUGGGCCGUCAGUACGAAAUAAUGUACAGAGUAUGAAAGACAAUAGACUGUGUGGAGGUAUCCUGAUAUACUGGAAUAAUAUGAUAAAUAAAUCAAGGAUAAGAUAAGUGUACUGACCUGCUCCUAAAUCUAAACUUAUCAAAAAUAAUAAAACAACAACCUAACCAAGCCCCCAUAAGCUUGGCAGGUACACACAGUACACAAAUCCACCUACUCAGACCCCCAUAAGCCCGGAGGGUGCUAAUCAGCCUAUGUACCCCUAUCGGUAGUCCCCUAACCCUGUAGGCAGUCACAUAGCCUUCUUAGGCAUUAAUAUAUCCCCGUAGCUAACACAUAACUCUCUUAGGUAUCAACAUAGCUUAUAGACAACUCAUAUCCCUCUUAGGCAACAACAUGGCCCUGUAGGAAGCACAUAGCCUUCUUAGGCGUCAAUAUAUCCCUGUAGGCAACUCAUAGCCUUUCUAGGUAUCAAUAUAGCUUAUAAACAACUCAUAGCCCUGUAGGAAACACAUAGCCUUUUUAGGCGUCAAUAUAGCCCUGUAGGCAACUCAUAGCCCUUCUAAGCAUCAAUAUAGCCCCGUAGGCAACUUAUAGCUCUUUUAGGCAUCCAUAUAGCCUUGUAGGCCGAACAUAGCCCUUCUAGGCAUAAAUCACAUUCUUGCAGCUAACCACAAUAGCCCCAAGGGCAACAAUAACAAUCCAAUCGCUAAAUGUGAGCAAUUUAGUUAUAAGCAACCUAUACAAAUAGCCUCUAAGUCGUGUCCAACAUAGGGACGCUACUAACUGAAUAAGAAUCUCGACAAGGGAGGAUUAUAUCAACUCGAGCAGCCAACAAUCAACAAUAAUGACUACAAGUGUAACAAAGACAACAACCCAAUUACAUUGCUCCUCAGCUUUAAGGAAACAUGUUGUAAGUAGGGAAUAGCCUUAACAUACCUUUCCAAUGAACGCUCGAAAGACCGUAGUUCCUUCACGAAAGUUGUUCCUUAUGUCCUAAGCUUCACAAUCAUUAUAUAUACACAACUGAAAUGCACCUAUAAACAAUUCAUAAUUAAUCUUAAAUCGACAGAUUUGCCAUAUUUCCCCAACUUGUCAAAACGUCCGUAGAAAUUCAUAAAAACAACCAUAAAAGGGUUCCGAGAUGAUUACCUUAGUUAACCAAGUGUAAACCUUGAAGAAACACCAAUAACUACAAAUUUAUAUCUUCAAAAACUAGCUCCAAACGCAGCUAAUAGGAGGGGAAAAUGAUUUCCACGUGUAGAGACCGCGUUUCUAGGCACGGGGGCAACCUUUAAUGGUAGAAAUCGUCAAAAACCAACCUUCAUCAUGCAAGAACUCCAUAGGAACCAUCUCUUAAGCUUUCUUUCUAGUUUGGAAGUGAAAAUAAAUGUUUUCAUGGCUUAAAACGUUGAGUAAGCCGACAUACCACAUUUUUGACCCGACCCAAAUUCUGCCCCGGCAGUCCGUAGUAGAACCCUCAUAACUUUUUACUCCAAUGUCGGUUGGAUACGGAAUUUUGUGCGUUGCAAACUAGACUCGUAAGCCUUUGAUUUAAUGGGUGAUAGGACUUAUAACUCUUUAUAUAUUGGGAGAAAAUAUCCAAGACAUUGGACCCAAAUUUUAGAGAAAUCUUUAAAAAUAAACUUACGAUUACUUUCGCCAACAUUUAUUUUGCCACUUACCUAACUUCAAUAAUUGAGAUACAACCCUUGAACACUUAAAAUCUGACAUACCACAUCAUUCUUAAUUUAUUACUUACCCUCCUUGUCUUUCCACGACGAUACGAGUUAAUUUAGAAGUUUUGAAAAGUCGGGGUGUUACAAUUAAGGUGGUUCUAUCCAUUGUUGUCAGUUCAAGGUGGGAAGUUAGACAACUAGAUGUCAAAAAUGUCUUUAUCCAUGGCUUCCUACAAGAGGAGGUGUACAUGAGUCAACCUCCUGGUUUUAUUGAUCCCUAGUAUCCUCAACAUGUGUGUCUACUUAAAAAGGCAUUGUAUGAUCUUUAACAAACACCAAGAUCCUGGUUUGAUAGGCUUAGCAUGCAUCUCUUGCACUUUGGUUUCAUUUGUAAUAAGGCUGACCCUUUUUUACUUUGCAAACUCACAAAGGCAAAAUAUUUCUCUUGUUAUAUGUGGAUGAUAUUAUUGUCACAUGAAGUAAUCCAUCUCAUGUCUCAGAGUUAGUUCUACAACUUGGGAAGGAGUUUGCUAUGAAAGAUCUUGGCUCUUUACACUUCUUUAUAGGAAUUGAGGUGAAGUAUUUCGAAGGUGGAAUUCACUUAAAUCAAAGCAAGUAUGUUGCUGAGCUGCUGGCCAAAACAAAGAUGACUUUGGCAAAGGCUGUAGCCACUCCUUUGGCUCAAAAACAUGGUUUGCAUGAAGCUGUGAGAAGUCUUGUAGAUGCAUCCUUGUACAAAAUGAUAGUAGGGAGCAUUCAAUAUUUGACCCUCACAAGACCUGAUAUCACUCAUGCAUCUAGCAAGCCAGUUUAUGUAAAGCCCAAACAUUGAACAUUUUCGAGGGGUAAAAAGGAUUCUCAGGUAUAUCAAAGGUACUCUACACUUUGGACUCAGAAUUAUUUCACAAUCACUAUGUAAGUUGUAUGGCUACUCAAAUGCUGAUUGGGGAGGUUGUACCACAACUAGGAGAUCAACUACAGGCUAUAACAUCUACCUAGGUGCAAAUUGUAUUUCUUGGACCUCCAAGAAAUAGACCACAAUAGCCCGAUCGAGUGAUGAAGCUGAGUAUAGAGCACUAGCCUCCACUGCCGCAGAAAUGACUUGAAUUUUGUAUCUUCUUCUUGACCUUAGAGUGUUCCUUUGAUCUGUUCCUAUGUUGUAUUGUGAUAAUAUGAGUGUCUUGUACAUGACAGUUAAUCCAGUAUGCAUGCUAGAACCAAACAUGUUGAAAUAGACUAUUAUUUUGUUUGUGAGAAAGUGGUCAGGGGACAACUUCUUACUCAGUUUGUGAAGUCUAAGGAUCAGCUAGCUGAUAUUCAUACCAAAGCCUUAACAAAAUAGGUUUUCUUUAGUUUUCGCAGUAGGCUAAGAUUUACGGUUCCUCCACUCACUAGCUUGAGGGGAAGUGUUGAAGGAAGCUUGAAGACUGAUGGAACAUGUCGAAGGAACAGGUCCAUUGAAGCAGGCUGACGAGUUAGAGUUAGAGUCAUACUAGGACUAGACUACUAAAUCCUAAGUUAUGUACGACUAAUCUACUGAAUAUUGUAGGAGUUGACUAGGAUAAGGUAUUUGACUUGUAAUACAAUACUACUCAUGUAAUUAAUUGUGUUGUAGUAGGAUUUCUAGUAUAACUAGAAUAGGACUCUUCUCCUAUAUAAGGAGCUUGUAAAUCAACAUUAUAAUCAUCAAUACAAUCCUUGAUUUCUCCAUACUUACGUGAGAAUUCUACAUGCAUAAUUUCUAUGAGUAGGUUAUUUGUUAAUAAAAAUAUCAUCCACUUUAUUAUUAGAAAAAUGAUUUGAGAGAUCUUAAUGGUAUUUUUGUCAUUUUCGUUAUAUUGUGAAAUACUCACUACUAAUUUAGGCUAUUUUCAUGGUUGUUUUGAUUGAAUAUGUCGUGAAAAAAAUAAAAAUAAAAUAAUAAGUAAUGUUUUUAAAUGGAAAAAUUAUGACGAUUUUCACUAUUUUAAUUGGAAACUGUUUUCCAUCGUGCAUUUCUUCACUGAGUUGUGGAAAAUAAGUGGAAACAUCUAUAACAUCACGAUGAAAAAAAUCGAUAUAAUUACUUGUAGUGACUAUUAUUCCACUUUUAAUUAACUAGAGUAACUUAUCUCAAUACAAUUAUUAGUCUUAAUAUAACUUAUCCCAAAACUAAUGAUCAAAUAAAGAAUGCAAAAGUAUUAAAAUUUUAUUUCAAAACUAUUUAAUAUAAAUAUAGUUAGUCCAUCAUAUCAAAAUAUAUAUACAACUUGUCCAACAUAUCAAACGAUCCUAAAACCAUAUUUAAAUUGACUUAUAGCUUUCAACUUUUAACUUAUAAGUCAAAAGUCCUAAGUUUGAUUUAAACACUGCAGUUUGCAAAGAGGAAAUAUUCUCUACAAGAAACAUUAGACAAAUUAUAAAUUGGGGUGAAUUAAUUUUUCAAUAUUCACUUUUCUCAUCUUCGACUUAAAAAAGAAAAAAAAUAUAGUUGUUACAAAAUUUUAAAGAACAGUAAUGGUUUCUUUCACAUUUGUGAAGAUCCCAAUGCUAUAAUAUUUAACUUAAUCUAAUUAAAAUAGUUAAAUUAUCCUCUAUAGGAAAAAUAAAAAAUAAAAAAUUUAAAAAUAAAAAUUAUAAACUCUAAAAAAAUGAAGGGCACGAGGGGUCAGUAGCAUAUCCAAGGUAAUUUGGAUUUUUUGUAUCAGAAAAGUAUUCAGAUGACUCAAAUGUCCCUUUUAUGCCCGACAAAAAUAAUAUUAAUUUAAUGAAAUAUAUAAGUAAGUAGUACUAUAUAAUAUCAGAUUUAACAUGAAAAAAUUAAUAUAAAAUUUCUGUCAAAAUCCCAGUAUUUUAUUGAGUCGUGGUUUAUCACACCUAACGAAAAAUUCUAUGUCAGUAAAAAAUAGAAAAGAAAAAAACAAAUUCUUGUUUUUAUUCAUUGGCUAGUACAGCCCCUUGUUGAAAAUUGAAAACUACAAGAGAGAAACACAAAAAAAAAAAUAUAAUUAAUUUUCUGCUUCUUAUUUAAUAUCCAAAUUUAAGACAGCUGAAAAAAUUGCUUGUAUCAUAAAUACGUCUGUCUUCUCACAAUCAAAGUUAUUUUCCUUUUUACUCUUUAGGUUAAACAAUCUACCUUUAAAAACAUUUACUGCUUAUAUACUAUGUAAUUUUGUAGUGGUAUAGAGACUUAAAAGACGGUUAAUAUGAGCUGAUCCAUUGGUCUACCCAACUUAAUCCGUGAUUUAAUAGUGGGAGAUAAUUUUUCGAAGUCCAUUUAAAAAGAGCAAAUUUCCUAAAGCACGCUAGCAUAAGUGUUAAUUACUCAAUAAAGCAUUAAUUUCAAAAAAUUACAUAUUUCGUUCGAGUUUUGGUUUGGAUUCAUUGUAUUCGAAGUGUGAUUUGCAUGUGUCUGAGAUACAUUGUCUCUCUCGCUCACCUUUCUCUGACUCUCAUUCUAUCCUUUUUUGUAUUUGUAUUUUACAAUGUAUUUAUGUUUCGCAAUUUCAUGUAUCUGUAUAUCUAGAAUUAUUUUUCUAUGAGUGUAUCCAAUAUAAUAUGAAAGGAUGUAACUAUAUAUGCAUAAGCUUGUAUCACUAUGAUUGUAUUUGUAUAUCGAAUAUCAAUUUUAAAAGUAUGUAUUUGUCUAUAUAUGCAUAAGCUUGUAUCAAUUUCUACGAGUAUAUCUGAUUAUCCAAUAUCAAUUUACAUGCAUCCAAUAACAAUUUCAUCUAGUAUAUUCAAUAUCAAUUUGAUAUGUCCAAUGCAUAAAUAUAUGUAUCUUGUAUCAAAUAUGUACUCAGACAUUCAACAAAUAAGACGUUUUGAAUAUACACUGAUAUAUUAAGUGUAUCUAUGCGUGGAUACAUCUAGAAAAACAUUAAAUAUUCAAGUUUUAUGGUAAUCCAUUUCCUUCAUGAAGAUUUGAUUCAUGCAUUGGUCAUAAUUGUUUGUUUUUGUUGGAUACUACUCCCUCCGUCCCAUUUUAUAUGUCACCUUUUUACUUUGCACUUGCAUUAAGAAAUGAUGUAACUUUACCUUUCUACCCUUAUUUAAUUUUUUUGGAACUCAAGUUUUCAAUCAAUGAAUAUGAAUUAAUUUAUUUUGAUUAAUUAAUUUAACCAAUGAACAUGAAUCAUUUACUUAUCUUUUCUAAGUUGGUCAAAUGUAUAUUUUCAAGGCGAAUAACUCACAAGGGUAAAAAAGGAACAAUAUGGUAAUUUAUGCAUUGAUUUUAUGAAAUGACAAGUAUUAUGAACCAACUAUUUAUAGAAAGGGAUGACAUAUAAAAUGGGACGGAGGGACAAUUACUGUAUAUAUUGGAGAUUCUAAAAGGGGAUGACUAGUCCAAUUAAGGGAAAAUUAUAUGAAAUAGCAAACUAUUAAUUCAAAUUAAAUGAUAUAGCUAUAGUUUAUUUUAAUUGUAAUUCGCAGCAAACAUUCCCUUUUUUUUGCCAUCUGAUUCGGUAUACAUUUAGCCAUUUUCGGUAUACAAUUUAGCCAUUUUAUACAUUUCGGUAUAAAAUGCAUUUGUGUUUGUAUAAAAUGAGUAGAAAAGUGUAUAUACAAAUAUAAAUACAUAUAUUUCCGUCCUAUACACUUAUAAUUAUACAAAUACAGAUCUUAUUACACAAAUUACAAUAUGUAUAAAUGAAUUUAUACAAAACUGAACAAUUUGUAUAAAAUUGGAUGUUUUUAGCGAAUUAUAUAAAUCAAAAGCUUCAUAGCAAACAUAAAAUUUGCUAUGGAGCGCAAUUAUACAAACUAUAGCUAUAACAUACAAAUAUGAUUUUUAUGUUUGUUUUAUGUGAAAGUUGCUCUCCAAUUAAUCCCUUAAUUCUUCCUUGUAUGCCCAAGCCCAAUCCCAAGAGUCAAGACCAAGACUAAGCCCAAGUAGUAGAUUGUCUAUUUUGUAUUCUUAGAUGCAUACUCAAACUACUAUAUCGAUUUGGGAUAAAUUUGGGCAGCGUAUAAUAAAAAGAAAUUAUUCAAAAUUUUAUCUUGAAUGAUAUUAUUUAAAAUUAUAUCCUAGACCAAGGUUGUAUAUGAGCAACUCACUCAAAUUAGACCAACUAAACCUUUAUUAAUAUCAAUACUCUUAUUGGGCACGAGUGGUUAGGCUAAAAUAUGUUCUCAUAUUCGAGCUUCAACUCUUUUACCCUCCAAACAACGACUAAAGUCUUUAAUAUUUAUGUGAAGGAAAGACAAUUAAUUUAAACUUGAAUGCAAAAAUGAUGAUUCAUAAUCUCAACUAAUAAUAAUUCACUUCAUUUUCAUUGUUGCUAAACUAGACAUUUAUAUGCCAUUAUUUCUAAUCAUCCUUUUUAGAAACUAAUCAGUCUCUUGUUAGUUAAAAAUUAGUUCAAGAUGACCGUUGCACGGUGGGCAGGGUAUGAUAUAUAUCGAAUUACCAUACCAUAUUAAAUUUUUUAAUAUCGUGGUGUUGAUAUUAUGGUAUUUGGUAAGAUACAUGGUAUACAUUUUAAUUUUUUUUUGGUAUUCGGUAUGGUAUUUGAUAUUUUGAAAUAAUAUACCAAAAUAUCGAAUACCGAAUACCAUACCAAAGUAUAUAGUUACAUAAUAUAUAUAUACUAGAUAUAAAAACCCGGGCAAGCCCAGACCCAAUAUAUAUUAAUUUAGUUAUUUUAAUUUAUGUGAUACAGAUAAAAUUAGAAGAGUCAAUUAAUUUUUUAAAUAUUAUUAUGGUUUAUUAUUUUUAUUAUAUUUUUAACGUACUUUUCAAAUAAUAUCUUUGUCACAUGUGAUAUUUCGAGAGUGCAUUAAAUUUUAAUAUAUUUUUAAAAAUAUUUUAAGUUGUUAAUUAUUGUGAUUUGUGUGGCACAUGUGAAAUUUUGAGAAUUAAUUAAAUUUUUAAUAUAUUUUUUUAAAAAUAUUUCAAGUAUGUAAUUUUUAAAUAAUAUAUGUUAUUUCCCCUGUCCGAAUUAAUAUGGCACAUGUUAAAUUUUGAGAUUUAAUCAAUUUCUUAAUAUGUUUUUAAAUAUUUUAAGUUGUGAUUAAUUGUACUCUUAACGUAAUUUUCAAAUAAUAUAUGUUACUCCCUUUGUGCCAAUUUAUGUGGUACAUGUGAAAUUUCGAGAGUUAAUCACAUUUUAAUAUAAUUUUUAAAUAUUUUAAGUUGUUAAUUAUUGUGGUUUAUAGAACUCUUAAUGUGAUUUUCAAUUAAUAUAUGGUACUCUCUUGGUCCUAAUGAUGCAGUACAUGUGAAAUUUCGAGAGGUAAUUAAAUUUAUAAUAUUUUAAGUUAAUUUUUAAUACUAUUUUUAUAAAUACAUAGUAUAUAAAAAAGAAAAUAUAUAAAUAGAAGAAGUUGAGGAGAAGGGUAAACCAGUCAAUUGUCUGGUUGACCCUAAGCUCCUCAACAUUCGCUUCUAUAAUAUAUAUAUAUAUANNNNNNNNNNNNNNNNNNNNNNNNNNNNNNNNNNNNNNNNNNNNNNNNNNNNNNNNNNNNNNNNNNNNNNNNNNNNAUAAUAUAUAUAUAUAUAUAUAUAUAUAUAUAAUUAAAAUACUAACAACUAUGCAACCUAAUAUUAGUAUAAAGUAAAUGUUUAGAAGUUAAAACUUUGACCACUCUAGUUUGAUUGAAAUUUAAUUGAUUAACAAAAGAAGUUGUUUGUACUUUAUUUUGAAUAUAUAUUUCUACACGUGUAACGUGUUAAUAUGAUACAAUUGAGACAUUUUUUUAAUUGUUGAAGUGAAUAUAUAUUAGUAGAAGUUGAACAAACUAUGCUAUCGAUUUACCAUACCAUUGAAUAUCAAACCGAACUUCGAAAUACCAAACCAUAUUGAAUUAAAUUAGUAUGAUAAUGAUAUAAUGUUUUAAAAAAUAAAUAUCAAAAUUAAGAUAUUGAAACUUUGAAAUAUCGUACCGUACCAUACCAUGUUCACCCCUUGCACCAUAAUAUUAAUUACGUUAAUUUGGCACAAUUCAAGGGCAAAUUUGGAAAUUUUCUUUUCUUAUUUGAACAUACAAUAUUCGAAAAUGCCCAAAUGAAUUGCCUAUGAAAGCAGGAGAAAAAGCGCGCUCGAAUUCAUUCACACUUUACACACACUCUCUGCUCAAACAGAAAAUGGAGCUUUCCAGAACCGCCUGUGCCGCCGACGAUCAACUUGCUCGGACUUCCGAAAUCGAAUCUCAGCUUUCCUCCGUCGUUUACGGUAUUCUCCAUAUGUAUAUUGAGUACUACAUUCAAUUGUAUGCAUUUUAUCUUGAAGAUCUGUAACCAAUUGAAAUUUUAGCUGGACGAUUUGUAUAUUUUUUUUCUUCUUCGGAGUUUUAGUCAAAUUGCUAUGUUAUUGUUUGAUAUUUCCUCUGGUAAUCCUUUUCCGCUUUGCAUUAGCUUUCAUGUGCUGUUUUCUUCUGUCUCAGCGUCAUAUGUGUUGUUUUUUCGCAUAUUGUUUUGAAUUUCGUCUUCGUGAAUGGGAGACGAAAUAGUUCGAAUUAUAAACUAUCAGUUGCUUUUUUUCAGUUAAAUUUAUUAUAAUUUCUUCAGUUAUAUUCUUGCCUGUGUUACUUUUCCGUCUUUAGUUGCUAGUGAUUGAAUUUCUCUUGAAAUUUUGAUAUUUUUCCUAAUUUUUUUUUUCUGAAUUAGAGAGAAUUUACAAGUUGUUUGAUUAAUGUGAGAAACAAUUUAGACCUAACUAGGUAAAUUUGAUAUUUUAGAAAAUAGUUUUGUAUUAUCUGUCUAAAGAAUAAGGCUUCUAUACAGCAAGAGAACUGAGAAUAUUAGCCAACUGUCUCAAUUGACCUUCAAAACAUUUAUGAAUUGUUAAUUGCAUGCUAUGAGGAUAAAAUGCUGAGGAAUUUGGUUUGAAUUGAGAUAAAAUGAACAAUUAACUGAUCUAAACUACUGUUUCACAUGGUCUUGGUAUGCUGCUUUUAGCAAAGUUUUAGAUCAUCUCAUCUGUUACAUCUAAUUUUGGAAGUGCACACCAUCCUAAGUUGGAAUCUAAAAGCCUUUCUCUUCAUUCCACAAAUUGCAUGCGUCUGGUGAUAAAAAGAUAGUGGUUAAAUUUUUGUUUUGGAGAUGAAUUAUCACUAAAAAAUUCAGUAGACUUAUGUGUCUACACUAUACAUACUUCACGGAACUAAAAAAGAAAUAAAGUGCAAAUACUACGUCAGUCAUAUUUCAGUUUCCUCUUAAAUAUAAAAUGGAAACUGAUUGCGGAAAAUCCAGGAGAAUGUAGUGUAUGAGUUGCAUAGCUAGAUACUACUGAAGUUUAUAUUGAUCAAUAUGUAGUUUUAUGGUCUUAAUCCGGUUUACUGACCUAUGAUGUGAAGGAAUGUGGUCUCGAAUCCUACUUGUGACUAAGUGCACUGGACGUUCUCUUUACCUAAUAACUAACUGAGGAAAUCCCUAAUUCAAAUCCAUAAUUUAUUGCUGGAAAUUUUUUUAGUGGAUGUUCUGAUAUGACAUGUUAAUGAAAAUAAUGGAACAUCAGGUUAAAAGAAAUAAGCUUCACUGAGCCCCGGCAGUUAUUAUUGGUGGUUCAUGCUUCGACUUAUUGAGAGGGAACUUGAUAUUUUCAGUUACCCGCACGUUCUAAAAGUGAUAGUAGAAUUCAUCUGCCAUUUGCCUGGUCAUGUUGAAAUAGGGCCUUUGUUUUCAGUUACUAGAAGUUUUGCUAAUGUGUUGAUCAGCGUUGUCAUCAAUUAAAUGUUAAUAUACCUUGUGGAAUUGCAAUGUCAUGAGGAACUUACAUGUUCUACAAAAUGGUUAUGCAGAGCUCUCACAACAAGUGCAAGGGGCAAUGGAGAACAUGCUGAAGAUGAUAAAGUGAGCUGAUUAGCAUUGUGGCUGAAGGAAGUAUAGUUUUAUCUACAUAGCAACAUAGAGAAAUGAGCAAAUACUUGCAUUGGCUUUGAAAACUUGGACUUGUAUUGUUAAUAUUCAUCUAUUCUAUCCUCCAUUUUUUAAUGUUCUUGACUAAAUCUCAAGAUUACUAUUUUAUAUAUAUCAAAUGCGUCAAUAUUUCGAGGGCAGUCAGGAGUUUGCGUUCUUCUGAAGCUAUUGGUUUUCAUAUUUCACUCUUUCAUAACAGUCUUUCUUGCAUUUUUAUUUUAACUGCGCAUUCUUUCUUGCAACUUAUUAGUUAGAGUUAAAGACCGUAACCAUUCAUUUCAUUGCAUCUAUGGACAAUUAUCUCUCUCUCUCUCUCUCUCCCUGUCUGCUUGUUUGUGUCCUACCCUUUCACAUUUAUAUCACUUUCUACAGCGAAAUUGAUCAGAGCUCUACUGAAGUAACAGAAGACAUGGAGAAGUGCAAGGAGUCUGCUCUUGAGAGAAGUAAAACUUUAGAGGAACAGAAGGAACAUUUUCAAAGAGCUGCUUAUGCUAUUUUGGACAUGCUAAAUAACCAGGAGAGAGGAUAAAAUUUGUAAGUUUAUAAAUGCUCCCUUAAUCUCUGUUUUUCACAGCAGUGAUCGUGAUUUCAGCUCAGGCAUAACUUGUGAUGUUUAUCUCAUUAAAAUAUUCUAUCAGUUUGAUUUCUCAUGCAUUGGAUUUAUCAUGUCAUCUGUGACAGACAUGCCGUAAAUUGUAAAUUAAUUCACUUCCAUAUGUUUUAGAUGGAACAGUCUGCUCAUGUAUAUGCUUACUAGUGUUAGAUCACAUUUGGAAGCAUCUUCAAAAUAUUUUCAUAGUUCUUAUUCUUUGUGCAGGUAUAGAGGGCAUGCCAGACAUUUUGACCCCAUCAUUCCUCGCAACGAUGUAAAAUUUGUAGAGAAUCCACAAGUCACUUAGCUUUGUAGCAUUUUGGGAAAUACAUUUGAGUCCUACCCGUUAAAUAAGCAUUGCUUGAAUCUGAAUGGUAAUAAUCGAUGUAUGAUCUCUACGAAUCAUGUGCCUUUCUGCUUGUUGACUAUCCUAAAAGUUGGGUUUUGUGUCCUCUUGAAGCAAAGCUUUAAACUCAAGAUUCUUUCUCCUGGUCAUCAUUAGCUUCAUACUAAAACGUGAAUUUGUUGAUUGUUGCUUAGGUGAAGAUCACUAGCUUCAUCACUAGCAAAUUCUAGUUGAAUCAUUCUCAGUAUUUUUGGUUCAACAUUUUAGCAAACCUGAAUGUUCAUAACUAUGAACAUGUAACCCGUCUUGGCCUGAAAUUAAAGAACAUCUUGCAUAGACUGAUGAACCUCAAAAUAUACCUGAUUUGAUUAAACGAAUAUUUAGGGCCAAGAUUGAUGAACUGAAGAUAGAUAUAUUAAAGCUAAGUAUCUUUGGAAGAGUUGUUGCUUUUAUGUACACUUUUGAGUUCCAAAAAUAAUGUUUACCCCAUGCUUACUUUACAACUGUUUCGUACCAUUCUUGGUGAAGAAGAAGGAGAGUUGUAUUCUUCAGGACAUCUUGAACUAGACUGAUGAUUUUCUGCAACAAAAUUAAUUUGGCUAUGUGAGUGUUGUUUGUAAGGUUAAUUUUCAGGUAUGCUUAAUGUUAAAUUAGGUCUUAAGCCUAACUCACACCCCUAAAAGCUAGCUCAAAGGGAGGAGGAUUGCCCAAACCUUAUAAGGAGUCUACCCAUCUCAUUUAACCACCGAUGUGGGACUUUUGUCAUUCUUUAACACCUUACCUCACGCCCAGUGCUUAGCAUCUGGUGCGUGGACAAAUUUGAUUUUGGAGGCCCCAACAUCGGGUGAGACGGGCCCUGCUCUGAUACAAACCACUCUCACCUUCCCACUAUAAAGCUCCUGGAGAAUACAUAAGUUAGUGAAGAAUGUAACUGAACAACCAAGUUCCUUUGUCAACUGACUUACAUACAUCAAGUUAUACUUGAAUUCAGGUAAGUAAAAUACAUUGGAGAUAACACUCCUAUUUGUUAAUGCACAAGAACCAACAUGAGUGACCUGAGUAGUACCCCCAUUAGGCAGAUAUACAAUUUUAGGAAUCUGCAAUUCUGACACAGAACCUUUUAUAAACAUGUUCAUCUGAUAAACCAUGUGAUUUGUUGCACCAGAAUCUACAAUCCACACUUCAUUGUUCUUAGAAACAAACAAGGAUUUACCUGCAGUGUGAGCAGCAAAAGUGGUAUUGCUCUCAGAUGUUGCAGUGCCUUGGUUUUGUGUGAGACCUCUAAGAAUAUGAUCAUACUGUUCUUUUGUGAAUGUGCAACCCUUCAGUAAUUGUUUCACAUUCAUCUCUGCUUGACUUGCUGCUUUUCCAUGCUCACUUUGUGCAGUAGCAGACUUCAGAUCCCAUCUUGCUUCAUGCACAUUAGUAUUCAAGCCAUAAGAAAAAUGAGCCUGACCUGGACCAGGAACACCACAUGGAGCAGAAUUAUUGUAACCGAACACCUUGAACCUUCUUUUUGGACUUGAAAUCAGGAGGAUACCCCAUAAUUUUGUAGCAAAAUUCUUUACUAUGACCCUUACAUUUACAGAAAUCACAAAUGAGAAGGGAGUUUCGUUUAAACCUUUGAUUUACUCCUGAAGUAGAACCAACAACAGAUUUAGAGUACAUUGCCAUAAAAUCCAUACUCUCAGCACUCAGCCCCAUGUUGCUAAUGUGUGAAACCACAACCUUUUGACUCUCAUCUCCUACUACCAUAGCAUAAGCAUGAUUAACAGUUGGUAAGUGAUUCAUCAUUAAAAUUUGACUUCUAGCCUGAUUAUAGGACUCAUUAAGCCCCAUUAAAAACUGAUACAAUUUUUGUCUGCUCAGGUGAUUUACAAAAUCUUUCGACUUAGCACAAUUGCAUCCAGGAGAAGGAACUACAGCCUUAAACUCAUCCCACAAGGUCUUGAGUUUGGUGUAAUACGCAGAAACAGAAACAGUCCCCUAUUGUAGUGACGCAAUGUCUUUAUGAAGGCUAUAGGUUAUCGACCCAUCUACUCUAUCAAAUCUCUCCUUUAAAUCACUCCAAACAUGAGAAGCACUUGUAGUAAAUGCAAUUCCACUUAGUAAACUUUUUGACACUGAAUUCAUCAACCAGGAUAGUACUACAACAUUCACUCUCUCCCAUUGUCCCUAUAAUUUUUCACUGAACAUCUCUUUACUACAGGUUCCAUCAAUAAACCCAGUUUAUUGCGUCCUAACAAUGCUAGUGUAAUCGAUCUAUUCCAUAGAGAGUAGUUCUCGAUUCCAAGUAAUUGAAAUGAAAUAAGAUUCACUCCACUUAAAUCUGUAGGACUAAGAAAAAGAGGAUGAUUGUAGUCAACACCUUGCCCAAUUACAGAAUUAGGUAUUGGCAUUGAUACACCUGUGUUUUCACCAUUGUUGCCUUGAAUCGAAUCUGCAACUGUUCUCCCAUUCGUCAUCCUGAUUCACUGCUGAUCAACAAUUGUUUGCGGAAGCUAAUUACUCAUCAAUUACCUAUAGAUUUCACCCAAGAACUUGUGUAAAAGUUGUAGAUCAACUGACAAACUGAUGAAUCUGUAACUCAAUUCUAUGAUCCUCAAUUGAAAUCGCCUAUCACAGUAAUUACUGUGUGUGGCUCUGAUACCAUGUUAAAUUAGGUCUUCGGCCUAACUCACACCCCAAAAGCUAGCUCAAAGGGAGGAGGAUUGCCCAAGCCUUAUAAGGAGCCUACCUAUCUCAUUAACCACCAAUGUGAGACUUUUUGCUUUAACACCCCACCUCACGCCCAGAUUUCACCCAAGAACUUGUGUAAAAGUUGUAGAUCAACUGACAAACUGAUGAAUCUGUAACUCAAUUCUAUGAUCCUCAAUUGAAAUCGCCUAUCACAGUAAUUACUGUGUGUGGCUCUGAUACCAUGUUAAAUUAGGUCUUCGGCCUAACUCACACCCCAAAAGCUAGCUCAAAGGGAGGAGGAUUGCCCAAACCUUAUAAGGAGUCCACCCAUCUCAUUAACCACCAAUGUGGGACUUUUGUUAUUCUUUAACACUUACUAUUGAACAUUAGUACUGUUGUAAUACUGAACUCGCAAACCUAUAUAUUAUUGUCACAUUAAAGUCAGAAUUCUGGUCAUCUUCAAGCUUUAGUUCUUCUUCAUUCAUAUUGUGAUGCUUGAAUACACAAGUCUGUUGUUUUCGUUUUUGAAAGCUGGGGUUCAGAGUUUGCUAUUACAUGUUUUUUUUUUGUUGCUACUGCAUGUUAUUGUUUGAGAUAUGCGUUUCCCUUUGUGUUUCUUUGACUUGUUUGGAUGGUAGUUGUUAUAUUGUAUUGUAUUUUAUUGCAUUGCGUUGUUAAAAUAACAUAAUAUUACUUUUGAUUGACACUUACAUUAAAUUUAUAGUUGGAUAAAAAUAACAAAUUCUCAUUUUGUAUAAUAAGUAAUGACUGAUUUGGUGUGAUUCAAUCGUUGCUUUAUUUUUUUCCUCACAUUUUGUCUUUAUGUUUUACUCCCUCUAUCUAUUUUUACUACUUUGCACACUCCUUAAUAUGAGUAUUUUAUCAUAAUACUCAUAUUAAUUGAUGCAUUGUCUAAUUUUAGGAAAUGAUAUGGGGAUAAGUAAUUACUGUUGAUGGUUAAAUAGGAAAAAAUGAUAAUUGUUUUAUAUAUUAAAAGUGACAGCUAAAAGUGAAAAUCUAUUUUUGGAAUAUUGGACAAGUAAAACUGAACAGAUGAAAUAUUUAGUAAUCAUAUUUUAUCACAAUAUAUUCAUCGAAACAAUGUCCCAAAACAAUAUUACGAUAGAUUUGAAGAUUGAUUUGCAACUACAUCUUUUGGUAUAGUAUCUAACGAGGCCGGCCUUAACAGAAGUCCCCUUUCUCCAAACAUUUCAAUCAGAAAGUUACAUUGAAAACAACAGGUUACAAUUAUGUAUAAAGCAAAUUACAUUGUACAACAAAGUAUAUAUUAAGGAGACAUUAACAAUAAAAGUAAGAAUUAAUUAAGGUACUAAUUAAACAUUAUUGGUAGCUUCCUAUAGGUAAUCUUGAGAACAAGACCAGGAUAAACACUUCAUUAAUUGUUGAUUAUCCUCUCUAAGAUUUCGAGCUUCUGAGAAAGAGCAACACUUCAUUAGUAUUUUGCUGAAAUCAACAAAAACAUAAGAAAUAUUGUUGAAGAAUUGAAGUUUGCUCUCGAAGCCUUUCUUGAGGAAGCCAUAUAUAUUUGUGAAAAAUAGAUAGAACAGAAAGAGAUUACUGUACUAGUAUUUAUAAGAAAAUAUAAGAGGAAUUUUAUUAGUCCUAAUCCUAGUAUGUGAAGGAAAAAUUACCUUUUUAAUUAUUUUAUAUUCUUUGCAAUUUACAUGCUUAACAUAUCCAUUCCUUUCUAAUUUAGGGUAAUUAUUUUAGGAAAAAAUUCAUCAAAUUUAGGGUGUUAGUUUGAGAACUAUUUUUGAGUAAACAAAAUAAAAUUAGUUUGAGGAUAUUUUUAGAUCAAUAGAUGGAUGAAGGAUAUUAAUGAAUCAUUCUUCAUAUGUUAGAGAUAUUUUUUAUUCUUUUCUAUUAAUUUUAUUUGCAAGAAGUUGGUAAGGACAACUUUAUCUCUUAAAAAUAUAAUUAUGAGAUCAAUAAAAUUUACCAAUAAUAUUAGUUAUUAUUAGUUUAACUUUUAAUUAGAAGAAAAGAGGUCGCUCAUAAAGUUUUCUGGUAACGAUAACUUAAGUAUUUUUUUUCAAAAAAAUAAUAAUUAUGAUAUAAAAAAGCUAUAGGGGAAGUGGGAGAAAGAAACCUAGUGACCACCUUUUUUUUCAUGAGAAAUCUAUUUUACCUAAGUGAAAUUUUCCAUUUCUAUUUUUAAUAUUCUUUUCUUCACAAAAUAAGUGUCACUUUAGUAAUAACAAUAAAAAAAUAAUUCUAAAAUAAGUGUCACUUUAGAAACUAAAAAUCAGAAUUAGUUUUGGGAUGAGUGAGUAUUAUUUCUCUUAAAUAAAUACGUAAGUAGUAGAAAUAUUUAAAUUUUCAAAAGUAUCAUUACUAAAGUUAAUUUAGUAAAAUAUACCAAAAAAAACUUUCUUAAAAGUUAUGCCAACUCAACAUGUAAUUUGAAUUCAUAAUAAUAGUGAUAACAAAAUUAUAUCAGAAAAACAAUAAUUUAAUUGAUAUAACAAUUAAAUUAAAAAUAUUAAUUUUUUUAACAAAGAAGAAAACAAAUAUUUUAUUACCUUAUUGAUGUCUUCCAACCAUAUAAUGCACUGAGGAGUUGUUUGGAGUAAGAAAUAAGAUAUAAUGGUUCCAGGAUAAAAUAUAAAAUUAUUUUAUCAUGUUGAUUAGAGGUAUUAGGUAAUAACUUAAAUUAUUUAUCCAUAUAUAUGGUUGAAUAACAUAUCUUGAAGUAACUUAUUUCGAAAUUAAUAAUCCCAAGAUAACUAGUUUUCAUCUCACCAAACAACCCUAAGAAUAAUAAAUUUUUGAUAUUCUUAUCCGUCAUAAAAUUUAGGGAUAAGGGUCUGAAAAAUACCCCAACUUUGGUCGGAUUUGAUGUUGCGAUACUAAACUUUCAUAAGGACCUAUUACCUCCCUAGACUAUUUAAUACAAUAUUUUUACCCCCGAACUAUUUAAUAGUGUAUUUUAAAGGUAUAUAUGUGCCCACGUGGACACAUUACUAUUUAUAAUUUUGCAUUAUUUUUUAUGUCCACGUGGGCAAAUAUAUAUGUUUAAAAUACAGUAUUAAAUAGUCUAGGGAGGUAAUAGGUCCUCAUGAAAGUUUAGUAUCGCAACAGCAAAUCCGACCAAAGUUGGGGUAUUUUUCAGACUCUUAUCCCNNNNNNNNNNNNNNNNNNNNNNNNNNNNNNNNNNNNNNNNNNNNNNNNNNNNNNNNNNNNNNNNNNNNNNNNNNNNNNNNNUUUUUUACCCCCUGAACUAUUUAAUAGUGUAUUUUAAAGGUUAAUAUGUGCCUACGUGGACACAUUACUAUUUAUAAUUUUGCAUUAUUUUUUAUGUCCACGUGGGCAAAUAUAUAUGUUUAAAAUACAGUAUUAAAUAGUCUAGGGAGGUAAUAGGUCCUCAUGAAAGUUUAGUAUCGCAACAGCAAAUCCGACCAAAGUUGGGGUAUUUUUCAAACCCUUAUCCCUAAAAUUUAUGUUGUAGUCGACCUUUCGAGUUUUUGAGAUAAAUAAGGAUUUAAUAUUUUUUUAUUUUCAAAAAGGUUAUUAGAGUUUUUUUUCACAAGGGAAAAUGGCCUGAUAUACCCUUCAACUUCGCUAUUUAGAGUUGAUAUACAUCUCGUUAUGAAUAUCACCCAUAUAUACCCUUACUGUUAUACAAAUGACUCACAUAUAUCCUCCUCUAACAGAAGUGAAAAAUAAUAAUUUAAAUUUAAUUAUUUAAAAAAAAUAUAUAAUCCAUAUGUGGUAUAUUUAUCCUCCCCACACAUAUUUGUUUUGACUUUUUUUUUUUGUUUCAACAACUAACUUAAAUUUAUUAUUUUGAUGGUCAAAUUUAUUUAUGUUUUAAUUAACUUUCUUGUAAAUUUUAUUAUAGAUGCCACAAUUUUUUUAAUAAAUACAAAAAACUUAAUUACAAUAUAGCCCCAAAAUAGUUUUAAAUUAUAAUUUAGCCACAAAAAAUAGCUUUAAUUUUUUUUCUUUACACUAAAGAAUGAAAGAAAAAAAUAAAAUAAAAUAAGAAACUCAAAUAAUGAUAAUCAAAGAUGUCAAAAAACAAUUUAUGUAUGAAAAAGAUUAAAAUAUACCUUGAAUUUUGCUAGACGGAUCAUAUAUACUCUUACAGGACUUUUUUUUUAUUGAAAAUAAAAAAAUAUAAAUUCAAAUUAAUUUUUUCACUUCCGUUAAAUGAUGGGUUGUAAUCAUUUAAAAUUUAUUAAAUAUAAAUUUAUAAAAUGAUUCAGAUUAUAUUAAAUUCAUGAAUAUAUUAGUCCAAAUAAAUAUUAUGGAUUAAUAUAAUCGAGUUAAUUAUUUAAAUUCAAUAAAAAAAUAUGAAUUUAAUUAAAAGUCCGCUCCAUAAAACCCAUUUGCCAUGUCAGUUAAAUCUGAUUGACCGAAGAGAAUCGUAUUCCAAUCACAACUCCUCUAUUUUAAAACUAUAUAUAAAGAGCGGUCCUCAUAAUUCAGAAAAGGAACCAAGAAUUCUAACAAGAAACUAGAGAAAGCUCGUGGAUUAAAAGCCAUCAAGAACGAUCAAGAUCGAGACCACCAGAUUCAAGAUCAAGCUCGAAGCCCUUGAAUUAAACUAGAAUUCAAGAUCAAGAUAAAGUUCAAGUUCAAGUUCAAGUUCAUCGAAGAUUCAAGAACAAAUUCCAAAACCCUUGAAUCCAAGAUCAAGUUCAAGAUCAAAAUAAAGUUCAAGUUCAUCGAAGAUUCAAGAACAAGCUCCAAAGCCCUUGAAUCCAAGAUCAAGAUCAAGUUCAAGUUCAAGUUCAAGACAAAUUCAAGAUCAAGCUCAAGAGCCUAAUUCAGAGGAAUCAUAGAGAUUGUAAUACUAGCACUUUGAAAUAAUAAUUAUGAUUGUUGCAAUACUUUUAUGUUCUUGAUUAUUGUUUUCUCGACGCGAAUUUUAUCGUCUACAGAUGGGUAUAUGUGAGCUCCUUUUGUAACAGGGGUAUAUGUGGGUUAUUUGCAUAACAAUAAAAAUAUAUAUAUGUGUUACUUUCAUAACAAGAAAUAUAUCAGCUCUAAAUAACAAAAUUAAAAGACAUAUCAGACUUUUUUUCCAUUUCACGAUUAUGGCCAUUUUGUGACCAAAUUUUUGUUGUCAUUUAGCAUUACUCAACAAAACAAAAGUGAAUAACAUAUAUGAACUCAUAAAAAUUUAACUUAGUGGUCCAACUAGUGCUUACACUACUUCCCAAAGGAACCAAUAACUGCCAAAUCUAUUUUGGCCGUUUUGACCAAACAAACUAAUGAAAAGAAAUAUAUUUAGCUCUUUUCUCUCUUUCACACAGAUCACCACUACUUCUUCUUCUUCUUCUUCCUUCUUUCUACUAUUUUUUGUUUACUAAAAAUGGAAGCUGUAGUAAUAAUCUUGUUAUCCACCAUUAACAUACUUCUCUUUCUCCGCUCAUCAACAUCAGCAAUUCCCAUUUCCAUCAAGAAAACUUACAUUGUUCACAUGAAACAUCACCUCAAACCUCCAUCAUUCUCCACUCAUCAUCAUGUUAGUAUCGAAAUAAUUAGGUGUCAUGCGGAAGCUAGCAAAGCAAACCUCGAAAGACCAUGAGUAAGAAGACAAACGAGAAAUAUACCAAAAGACACAAAGAUUUAACGUGGUUCGGUCAAAUCGACCUAACGUCUACAAAGGAGAUGAACUAUCCACUAUAUAAAUAUAAGAGUACAAAAUAUAGAGAGAAAUAACCUCAAUCAAUUCACUUGGAAUACAUGGAGGUUCACACAAAUGAUAACGUAUCAAGCUUGUGUCCCACAAAUUCUCCCCCUAACCAAAACUCUCAAAACCCUUAAACUACAUUGUGAAUGCUGAUUAAGUUAAAAGGAACAAGCCUAUAUUUAUAGAGUUCUAAACCUUUUCCUAUCAUAAAAAGACUAGCCAAUUCAAAACAUUUUCCUAAAAGAAAAACCUAUUUAUGGUAAAGAAUUCAGGGCAAAUAAAAUCCAACACAUCAAUGGUACAAAACCCAUCUCCAAUCUCUCACUUCUUCCACCCAAAACUCUCUUCUCUAUACUUACAACUGCCUUGAUGAUUUGUGAAUCAUUACUUAUAUUUGUUAUUAAUAUGAACUCUAAUUAGGUAAUUGUAGUAAUUAUUAUGUUUAAAUAAAUCUAAGAGAGUGUUUACGCGUUAAUAUGUAAAAAUAAAUUUUUAAUAUGAGAUAUACUACCCACUCAACAACAACAACAAUAAAAAUUAUACGAAUCAUAUAGUUCAUUUGUAUUGACCUUGAUCAAUAUCAAUCCAAAAGAAUCAUGUAUUAAUGUUGUAGUUCGGCAUCCUUCUGUUAUGUCUAUUUGAUAACUUGUGAAUCAUUGCUUGUAUUUAUUAUUAAUAUAACCUCAAGAAUAUAAUAAAAUAAUUUUAAAAUGAAAGAAUAAUAAUAAAAAAUUAUAUAUAAAAUAAUUUUAAAUUGAAAGAAUAAUAAAAAUAAAAAAUAAAAAGAGAUAAUAUAUACAAAGUAUUAUUGUUAAAUAAAAUUACAAAUAACAUAUGUAUUUAAAGUAAAAGAAAGUUUUUAUUAAUAGAAUAAUAGUUGGUAUAUCUUAUUAAAAGAUUUGUAUCAUUUAAUAUUUUCAAAAAAUAUUAAUUCUUCCUUUAAUCAAAUGCAUUAAUAAUUUUUUAUUUUUGUUUAAAAUUUCGUAAUAAUAACUUCAAAAAAAUAUUUUAUUAGUAAUUUUAAUUUGUUGUUUAAUAAUUAUAUUUUAAUAUAUUUAUUCAUGGAUAAAUUUCAUAAGAUGUGCAAGUAUAAAUUUUUCUUAGUUCAUGAAGUGUAAUUGUUUGAUUUUAAUAUAUAAAUAUUGUAUUUAAAAUUGAGUUGUAUUAUAAAAAUGUUUAAUGUAUUAAUUAGGGAUAAUGGUUGAAAAAUACCUCAACUUUGGUCGAAUUUGCUGUUGCGAUACUAAACUUUUAUGAGGACCUAUUACCUCCCUAGACUAUUUAAUACCAUAUUUUUUACCUCAUGAACUAUAUAAUAGUGUAUUUUAAAGGUAUAUAUGUGCCCACGUGGACACAUUAUUAUUUAUAAUUUUGCAUUAUUUUUUAUGUCCACGUAGGCAAAUAUAUAUGUUUAAAAUACGGUAUUAAAUAGUCUAGAGAGGUAAUAGGUUUUCAUGAAAGUUUAGUAUCGCAGCAACAAUUCGACCAAAGUUGAGGUAUUUUUCAGACCCUUAUCCCUAUUAAUUAUUUAUAUACGAAUAAUAUGAAAUUAAAUCUCAUAAAUAUUUUUUUUGGUGAUUUUAAAAAAAUGUUUUACAUCAGUGAAGCUUCACAAACCAUAAACUAUUUUUUUUUUAUACAAUUUCAUUUUAUUUUUGUCAUUUUAAAGAAAAGUUUAAUCAAAUUGAGUGAUUAAAAUAAAAUCAUUUAUUUUCACCACUUUUUUUAAUUUUAUUUUAUAAAGAGACAAUGAAAGAGAAUUUUAUUAUUAUAAGAAGAAGAUGUAAAUUGACAGAGAAAAAAAAAGAUGAAUAAAAAAUUUGAAAACGAAUGAAACCAUUAAAUGCUAUAAUCGGUGCGACCCAAAGAAUUCACGUGGUUAAAAUAAUAAUGCAUCCCAAAAUUUACUAAUAUUGUUUAGAAAAAACUUUAACUUUGUUUUGAAAAAAAAAGAGGUAAUUUUCUGACAAUUUAGCAGGUUUCAAUAACAUAUUUUCUAUUCACUAAUAGUUGUCAAUUAUUUAUUUGAUACAAAAAUUAAAAAGAAGUAAAUGAAAUUUACCAAAUUAUUAUAUAAAAUUCAUCUAAAUAUUGAAAAAUGAAUAAUAUUUAAUAGUAAAAAUAAAAUUGACAUAAAAUAAUAAAUUAACUAGAUAAAUAUUACUCCCUCCGUUUCACAAAGAAUGACCUCAUUUCCUUUUUAGUCAGUUUAAAAAAGAAUGACCUCUUUCAUUUUUUGGUAACAUUUUACUUUUUGCUUUCCACGUGGCAUGUUUAAGACCGCAAAAUUAAAGACAAUUUUAUACAUUUGACAUAACUUUAAUUUAGGACCACAAGAUUCAAAAGUCUACUUUAUUUACUUAAACUCCGUGCCAAGUCAAACCAAGUCAUUCUUUGUGAAAUUGAGGGAGUAUUAGACAUUCCAAAAUAAUACUUAGUGAACAAGUAAAGACGAAUGACGGGAGUAUAUAAUCUCAUAAAACUUUAACUUAGUGGUCCAACUACUGAUUACACUACUUCCCAAAGGAACCAAUAACUGCCAAAUCUAUUUAGCUCUUUUCUCUCUUUCACACAGAGCACCGCUACUACAACUUCCUCUUCCUUCUUUCUACUGUUUUCUUUGUUUACUAAAAAAAAUGGAAGCUGUAGUAAUAAUCUUGUUAUCCACCAUUAACAUACUUCUCUUUCUCCACUCAUCAACAUCAACAUCAGCAAUUCCCAUUUCCACCAAAAAAACCUACAUUGUUCACAUGAAACAUCACCUCAAACCUCCAUCAUUCUCCACUCAUCAUCAAUGGUACAAAACCCAUCUCCAAUCUCUCACUUCUUCCACCCAAAACUCUCUUCUCUACACUUAUACCACCGCUUAUCACGGAUUCGCCGCAAGUUUGGAUUCUCAUGAAGUUGAAUUACUCCGUCAAUCUGAUUACGUUGUUAAUAUCUACGAAGACACUUUUUACACCCCACAAACAACGCGCACACCUGAAUUUCUCGGCCUCGAUAAGCUCGAUUUUGGGGAUGGACGUACUUUACCGGAUUUCAACACGGCUGCUCAGGAUGUUAUAAUUGGGGUACUUGAUACUGGAGUCUGGCCGGAAUCGGAAAGUUUUAGUGAUUUGGGUAUGUCGAAUGUGCCGUCCAGAUGGAGAGGGAAGUGUCAAUCGGCGCCGGAUUUUGAUCCGAAAGUGCAUUGUAAUAGGAAACUUAUAGGUGCUCUGUAUUUUUCUGAAGGUUGUAAGGGCUGCUCCCAGGAGAUUCAAUCGCCCCGGGACCAUGACGGCCAUGGCACACAUACUGCGAGCACAGCGGCAGGUAGAUGAGGAUUCAGGAUUUAAACUUGAUGGGUUUAAUUAGAUACGUGAUAUUUAUUGAAAAUUUAGUAGUUAUUCUAUUCCAAUUUAUGUGGCACAGUUGAAGUUUCGAGAUUUAAACUUCUAAAUUUUGAUAGUGAAAUUGGAAAUAGAAACUUUUAGGACCGAUUUAGUACGAGGGAGAAGAGAUAUCUAAUCAUGGAUUAAUUUUAGGAUCAACUUAUCCCAUGUUUGGUUGGGAAUAAAUCACGGGAUAACUUGUAGAUAACAAUUUAGGAAUAACUUGUUUCCCAACCAAACAAGCCUCAAGUUUUUUCGAAAUAAAAAUUUUAUAUUUGAAAACCAUAUAAAAAAAAUACUAUAAAUUACAAUAAUUAACAAUUCAUAAGACACAAAAAAUUUAGUUUUUAUUUUUAUUUUUUAUGUUUUAACUAAUGUUUCAAAAUUUAAUGUGACUCGAAAUUUCAAGGGAGCUACAUAAAUUGGGAAGGAGGGAGUAAUUCUUUCACAUAUAUAUCUUAGUUUCGCGUAAAAAAUAUUGGAUUCAGUUGAACUCGUAUUAUAUGCAGGAUCAAUUGUGGCAAAUGCUAGUCUUUUUGGCUACGCCAAAGGGACUGCUAGAGGGAUGGCGCCACAAGCCCGCAUAGCAAGUUAUAAAGUGUGCUGGAAUGAACUGUGUGCAGGGUCAGAUAUUCUUGCUGCAUUCGACCGUGCUAUUAUGGAUGGUGUUGAUGUGUUGUCUGUGUCAUUGUCUAAUAAUGAGAAGACUUAUUAUACUGACCCGAUUGCUCUUGGUGCUUUUGCUGCUAUGGAGAAAGGGAUUGUUGUGUCGUGUUCAGCUGGGAAUGAUGGUCCUGUGGAAUCAACAGUUGUGAACACGGCUCCAUGGGUCAUUACUGUUGGUGCUGCAACUCUUGAUAGAGAUUUUCCAGCUACUGUCACACUGGGUAAUGGCCAAAAACUUCAAGGCGUGUCGUUGUAUAGUGGAAAGGUAGAAAUGGGAAAUAAGUUGUUGAGCUUAGUUUACCAACAAGGGGGAAACUCCUCUUUGUGCUUUCGUGGUUCGCUUGAUCCAAACAUUGUUGGUGGAAAAGUAGUGCUAUGUGAUAGGGGGGGAAAUGAUAGAGUUGCAAAGGGACUAGUAGUGAAAGAAGCUAAUGGGGUAGGAAUGAUAUUAGCCAAUACACCUGAGACGGGGGAGGAGUUACUCGCGGAUAGCCACAUAUUACCUGCAGUGACUGUUGGAAGGAAGGUAGGGGAUGUAAUAAGAAAAUAUGUGAAAACAGAAAACAAUCCAACGGUUGUUUUCAGCUUUGGCGGAACAGUGGUAAAAGUGAAACCAUCUCCUGUUGUGGUUACAUUUAGCUCAAGAGGGCCAAAUGCAAUUGUUCCCCAGAUAUUAAAGCCUGAUGUUAUUGGCCCUGGAGUGAACAUCUUAGCAGCUUGGCCUCGAAAUAUUGGACCAACUUCACUUAAUAUCGAUACACGAAGGACCUCAUUCAACAUUGUUUCUGGCACUUCCAUGUCUUGCCCUCAUGUUUCAGGAGUUGCUGCAUUGGUAAAAGCUGUACAUCCAGAUUGGAGUCCAAGCGCGAUCAAAUCAGCAAUCAUGACAACCGCGUACACUCAAGAUAACACCAACUCCUCGUUUCAUGAUUCUGCACUAUACGGUACAUUUUCUAAUCCAUUUGUUCAUGGAUCAGGCCAUGUAAAUCCCCAGAAAGCAUUUUCCCCUGGACUCGUAUACAAUAUCAGGAUUCAUGAUCAUAUCAAGUUCUUGUGCUCCUUGAACUACACCAUAGAUCAAAUACAAUCCAUUGUAAAAAGACUCAAUUUCACUUGUGCAAACAAGUUUGCUGAUGCUGGGCAAAUCAACUAUCCUUCAUUCUCUGUCUUGUUUGAGAUUAACUCAAAGCGAGUUGUUCGUUACACUCGAGAAGUGACCAAUGUUGGAGCUGCAAGCUCAGUGUAUGAAGUAGCCACUGAUGCUCCUCCAUCCGUUACGGUAACAGUGAAGCCAACAAAGCUUGUAUUCAAGAAAGUAGGAGAGAAGCUUCAUUACACCGUGACAUUUGUGUCCAAGAAAGAUGUCAAACCAGGAAAUGCAUUUGGUUGGAUUUCAUGGAACAAUGCUAAACAUGAAGUGAGAAGUCCAGUUGCAUAUUCCUGGAUGACACCUCAAUUAGAUUUGGAAACAUGAAAGAAUGUAUCCAUAAAUGACUCUAUCUUAUAGCUAGUGAAAUGAAGGGGUUCGAUAAAAUACAUAAAAUUUAAAUCUUAAAUCCAACUUAAUGUAAAAAAAAUUGUAUUAGAAUUGGUGGGGUGCGCCAGGCCCGUGCAAUAGUGCAAAGCAUGGGCGACGCGCAAGAGCCCAGGUAGCAAGCUACCUUAAUGGACUCUUCCCCUUAAAUAAUUGAGUUAAUAUCGUGUGGAUCAAUGAUCCACAUAUCAGAUAUUAAACUGAUAAGAACAGAUACUACACUUGAUCUUAGCCAAAAGGCCGAGAAAGGUAUGCUUAUUUUGGUGUAAAUGACUGGCUUUUGUGACAAAACACUUGCGUUCAAGUUCUGUUUGGAUUCCGAUGUGGGAAACUAACAUAUGGACAUCUAACUUGGACUAAAAAAUAUGAGAUGCACUUGCAUGAUAAAUGAAAGUUAAAAAUAAAUAAAACUUCAAACAGUACUAAUAUUUGCUCACAUUACAUGCAAAUUCUAGUCUAGCUCUUCCUUUUCUUAAGUGAACUUUUAACAACUUUUUCUGGUUUUUUAGUUCUUAAAAAGACUUGAUAGGCAUUUGGAUAAACAAGUUGUGAAAACUAUCAAUUUUUCACCAAUCUUACCAAACGAACAAACAAAACUUAUUGGGUUUUCAUGUUUAUGAAAAAAAUAUAACUUAAACAAAUUCAAAUUGAAUGUUCAAACAAAACUUCAACUUCAUAUUUUAAUUUAAAUCAUUAUUUCAUAUUGCAUGUCCAAACGAGCCCUAAGAUUGAAACGAAACUAUCUUCAACCAUCCCCACGACAGUUACCACCACACUUCACAUUUGACCACUGCUGCGACCUCCAACUAAUAUACUCCUUCCUUUUCAUGUUAGUUGUCAACUUUUCUGUUUACACGGCCCUUAAGGACUCGUAAAAAACAAUAAGGAUAGUUUUACUAGUUUACCCCUUUAAAAAAUUUCUUGGAACUUGUUUACACUUUCAAAAAGAAUUAAUCAUAAGUGUACGACAUGGUUGUUUACACUUUUCUGCAAUUCCGCCUUCAUUUGGUUUGUCAUGUGGAUGAUGUUCAUGUAUUAUAAUCCUAGUGGGGAGUGUGCCUGAUACUCUACGAAUUCCUGCAGAAUAAGGCAUAAAAAGCGUAAAGUUUACUGAAAAAUCAUGUAUGGUUUCAUAACCACAAGUAUCAUUACACAUGAUUAUCCUCGCAUGUCAUGCAAAACUAAAAGGAAAAUAGAAGCAAUUCAUGAGUCAAAAACUAAAUCUUGAUUGGAACAUUUCUAGAUGAAGCAUAAGCUUACUGGUUCCUUCUUGGUUUGCCCCGUAUUCACAGAGACCUCCUGCAAGAUAUAGAAGCAAUCGUCAUAGAAAUUGUGUUUGCUCGGGUGGUGAAAUGUGGAACAACAUUAUUCAUUCAGUAUAUAAUGAUGGUACAAGUGGAGAAGAGUUUGUAAGCCUUGUCUGUGCUCCUUGCUUUGCUUCUGAUCGCUAUUAUAACGCAGUAGCUUUUCUCAUCAAUCUUUAGCUUUUAUAACUAUGAUAAGUUUCCACCAGUUUUCUAGAUCUUUAAUCCAGAAUUCGUAAGUUAACUAAAUAUUAAUAAAUGCAAACAGUUCAUACAGAUUACAGAGUAAGAAGAGAGCCUAAGUAGCAAUGCCCUAAAUUUGUACUGGAAUUGGUGGGGUGCGCCGGGCCCAAGCAGUAGUGCAACGCAUGGGCGACGCGCAAGAGCCCAGGUAGCAAGCUACCUUAAUGGACUCUUCCCCUUAAAAAAUUGAGUUAAUAUCGUGUGGAUCGAUGACCCACAUAUCAGAUAUUAAACUGAUAAGAACAGAUACUACACUUGAUCUUAGCCAAAAGGCCGAGAAAGGUAUGCUUAUAUCAGCGUAAAUGAAUGGAUUUUAUGACAAAACACUUGCGUUCAAGUUCUGUUUGGCUUCCGAUGUGGGAUACUAACAUAUGGACAUCCAACUUGGACUAAAAAAUAUGAGAUGCACUUGCAUGAAAAAUGAAAGUUAAAAAUAAAUAAAACUUCAAACAGUACUAAUAUUUGCUCACAUUAUAUGCAAAUUCUAGUCUAGUUCUUUCUUUUCUCAAGUGAACUUUAAAAACCAUCAAUUUUUCAUAAAUCUUACCAAAUGAACAAACAAAACUUAUGGGGUUUUCAUGUUUAUGAAAAAAAUACAAUUUAAAGAAAUCCAAAUUGAAUGUUCAAACAAGACUUCAACUUCAUAUUUUAAUUUUAAAUCAUUAUUUCAUAUCACGAGUCCUAAGAUUGAAACGAAACUAUCUUCAACCAUCUCCACAACAGUUUGCCACCACACUUCACAUUUGGUCACUGCUGCAACCUCCAACUAAUAUACUCCCUCCAUUUCAUGGUAGUUGUCAACUUUUUUGUUUACACGUCCCUUAAGAAAUCAUAAAAAUAAUAAGGAUAGUCUCACUAGUUAAUCUCUUAAAAAACUUUCUUGGAACUUGUUUACACUUUCAAAAAGAAUUAAUCGUAAGUGUACAACAUGGACGUUGUUCAACCUUCAAGGAAAUUAGGAGAUUGUAUGAUAUUUCCUAUCAUCUUGACUUCUUAAGCAUUUGAUGAUUUUUUUUCAACUUAUCAAUACAUGUCGUUGAGGAUUUCCCCCUCAAACUAUAUACAAGUGAUCAUUUUCUUGCAAAGCACCCAAAUCCUUCCAUUGGGAGCCAUCUGCCAUGAGAAUCUUGCUUCCUCUUUUGCCAAACUUUUUUUCUGCAUUCACUAAAUCUAAUUAGAUACUCUUAACAGUAAAAUCUAUAUAUGUUCUUAUAGCUUGACAAUGAAUUUAAUUGAUCCGUAGAAAGUAUUCGCGAAAUAUCAAUACUUAUGAUAUCAUAAUAUUUGCUUACCUGCUGUUGUUAGGAGACCUUCAACUGACUCAGGUAGAUGUAUUAGUUUUCCGGCAAUUCCGCCUUCAUUUGGUUUGUCAUGUGGAUGAUGUCCAUGUAUUAUAAUCCUAGUGGGAAAUGUGCCUGACACUCUACGAAUUCCUGCAGAAUUAGUCACAAAAUCCGUAAAAUUUAUGGAAAACUAAAAAGGAAAUAGAAGCAUUCUAUGAGUCAAAGACUAAAUCUUGAUUGGAACAGUUUUAGAUGAAGCAUAAUCUUACUGGUUCCUUCUUGUCUUAGUCCUUCAUGAUUUUGCUCCGUAUUCACAGAUACCUCCUGCAAGAUAUUGAAGCAAUCGUCAUAGAAAUUGUGUUUGCUUGGUGGUGAAAUGUGGAACACCAUUAUUCAUUCAACACAUAAUGAUGGUACAAGUGGAGAAGAGUUUGUAAGCCUUGACUGUGCUUCUUGCUUUGCUUCUGAUCGCUAUUAUAACGGAGUUCAUUUGCUAGAAUAUGAGAGGGGAUUAGAUUUUCUCAUCAACCUUUAGCUUUUAAGUUUGUUAACUGAAGGCAAUUUACACUUCAUUCUUUAUGAUUACUUGAGAUCUUUAGUCCUUGCAGGAGAGCAGAUUUGCUAAAAAUUUUGAAGAUACAAAAAUCUCAUGACAUGUUUAAGACCACAAUUCUUAAACUUCGUGCCUAGUCAAAUUAUGCCUCAAAUAUUGAAAUCGAGGGAGAAUAAAAAAUCAAUCCAUGUUUAAGUACUUGUUCAGUUUAAUGCCAUAGGUUUUUCUAGUUUAUGGCAGAGGAUUACCUCACUAUUCAGGUCACUGAGCAACUCUGAUAUGAGUGGUAUCUCUUGUAGCUCUUCCUUUUCGAUUCCUUUAAGAUGCUGAUUAUAUUAUGUAACAAGACCAUGGUGUUAGUAUGAUUAUAGAAAUAACUAAUAUGAGAGCUAAUCUAUGCGCGGCCAUCUAAAAUCUACUACAAUACCUGUAGAAAAUUGGAGAGGAUUAUUUUUCCAUCUGUGUUAAAGAGCUGCAACAGUUGCUUGAAAUGAUGAUGACUGAUUCGAACAACCUGAGAAAGUCUCUUACUUCUCACUGUGACAGGUUGAGGUGUAUUAAAGAUCACACCUAUUUCUCCAAACAAUUCCGGGGAUUCCAAUUUUGACAGGAACUGUUCAGCAGAAAGUAGAAACUUUUAAGGAAAGAACUCUCAGAUAAAUUGUGUUUUUUCACAUUAGAUUUUCAUACGAUAUAUGAUAAAAUCUUGGCUUAAUUGACUUAUGACUAGUACAAUGUAAGUAGACAUAGUUGUUUGGUUCCAUCUAACUCACUUUUCAGUUAAAUUUAUUGCUGGAAGAUGCUAUCUUUUACCAACAAAUGGUUACGUCACAUAGAUCAUUUUCAUAUGUUCAAGUUAAUACAAGGAUUGACAGCAUAUCUGCUCACAUAUAAAGCUCUUCCAUCAGUAAAAACGUCCAGACAUAAUUUUAACUUACUUAACAGUAGUUUCUUAUGACGUUUCUUGAUUUCUUCAGUAAUAUAUUUGAAUGAUAUUUCAGAUUGUUGGAUGCAGCUUAAAGGGUACAAUGAGAAAGUUACAUCCGACACUUUAUAGAAUACUCGAGAUCAGUAUGCACUGUGGACUUUUGGUCCUGUUAUCUCUGAUCAUUUGUUUUUUUCCCUCCUCUAUUUCAUUAUUUAAGUUUGGUCAUUUUGUUUACUUGGUCCUAGCAGAUAGGACAGCAUAGCAAAAUUAGAAUUAGCAUCAAAUAAUAUGAGAAGUGGGAUAACUAACCUGUUCUGUUCCAUUCUUGUAUGUUACUACUUCCUGCAGUUUUCAACCACGGAAGAGUUAACAGUGCAGGAAUAGUAAGAGCAAAAGUUAUUGACGUUCGGGAAAUGCACAUACCACAGCCCCGGAGACAAUAAUGUAGAAAUCUGUUGGUAUCUCAUUUUGAAUAACAAUGUCAACUUUUGGUGGAAAGUAUUCUGCUUUUAUCUCCGAAACCUGUAAGGUAAAAUGAGCAAAACAUAAUUUAGUUCUGUGGAGCAAAAGGACAUGAUAGUUUAAGUUAAUGGAUGAAAACAACAUGCAUAUAGAGUAGUAGGAAGGUAAGAGAACAUUACCAACUGGACUAAGAAGUCUUCGGAAACACCUUUGAAAAGAUACGUAUUUUGAAGGGUUGUAUGGAAAAGAUGCCGUGCAAUACUAGAUCUUAUUGCCUUAGGCAAGUCUUCUACUACUUCCUCUUGCUGUAGUUCUGCAGUCUUGAAUCUGAGUGUUGAAUGUGCCAGCAUUUGCUCUUUUAUGCCUUCUGGAAGUCUAUUCUUCCUUGCAUAUCGCAGUGUCUCAUUGAUUGCGUCCCUCUACAAUUAUAAACUAUCAUAUUGUAUCGUUCUAAACGUGCUUUCUUCACUAAGACUUGAACUAUAUAAUGCAUAAACUGUACUCAGUUUUCUAUAGGGAGAGUCAUUACCAUCGCGAAGGUUCGAGCAACACUAUGGACAACAAGAUUGGUCAUGUUGCCAAUUAAGUAAGCAGUUAGGCCAAUGUUGAAGAGCAUGUAGAAGAUGGCAAAAACCUUCUCCCCUGUAUUAUGUGCAUGAAGAUCUCCAUAGCCUACUGUGGUGAGGGUAACAACAGACCAAUACAUGGAAUAUGUGUAUCCAAGAGAGAUACUUCUUUCUUGGAAACUAGUAACAUUUGAUCCAAUCCAGGUAUUCUCUGCAGUAUGAUAAUGUGUUGCUAGCCAGUAAUAGAAACAACCAGCGGAGUGCACCGCGAAUAAGGUCACCUAUUGACAGAAUUAUAGCCAUAAGAUGAAUGCUUUGGUUGAAGUAAAAAACUUCUAUAUCCACAUGAUCAGGUAAAGCUAGCACAAUAUGGAUGGUUCAAAAAGUACUUACACAAACUAGUUUACAAAAUCUUGUCCAAAAGUAGCUGAAUCGAAUGUCCUUCUCUAGCCUGGAUCAAAGGAAGAGAUUAACAACAAUAUUGAGAUUGAGAAAUUUAUGCAACUUUGAGUAUUGUUAUCAUUAUUACCUUGAGAAGAAUUUACUAACACGACGCAGUCGCCAUAGUCUGAGCAAGUUAAGGAAGCCAAAAAUGUCUCCUUCUUGCUUUUUCCCAUUAAAGAAUUGGUAUAUUGGUUGAAAUGGUAUGGUUGAUGCAACAUCCAUUGGAAAUCCUAGAUGAGUCACAUACCUUUCAAAAGAAAUAUUAAGUGUAACCUUUCAUUGCCAUUCAAAAAACAAAAAUCCCAAUUGUAAUUUCAUCUUUGUUUUCUUUCAGGUGGCAUCUCAAGUAAGUAGUAUCCAACAUUUUCAAUCCUCCAUUUAACUUUCCUGAUCUGAGCAAUAUCCUUUCCAAUUUUAACUUAUAUACACUAAGAAUGUACUAUAUAGUGGUGGUUAGGCCGAUUAUUGUAUGGGGCAAAGUGUUGGCUAGUUAAGAGCUUUCAUGUUCAAGAUAACAUUGCGAAAUGAGGAUGCUGAGGUGGAAGUGUGGACAUACUAAGAGGAAUAAGAUUAGGAAUGAGGACAUUUGGGACAAGGUAGGAGUAGCCUCUGUGUGGAUAAGAUGAAUGAAGUAAGGUUGAGAUGGUUCGAGAAUGUGAAAUGGAGAUGUGAAGAGGCCCCAAUGAGAAGGUGUGAGAGGUUGGCGAUGCUGGUUUGAGGAGGGGUAGAGUUAGGCAAAAGAAGUCUUGGGGAGAGGUGAUUAGACAAGAUACGAUACAUCUAUAGAUUUAAUUUGGAUGUGCGAUAAAAUGUUAGUAGAUAGUUGAGCAUUGUCUCGCUUUUCCUGCAGGCUUAGACUUGGUGGUAGUUUGGUGCCCCAUACCAGUUAUACUUUGGUUAUCAUAACUUUGUAGUUGCUACUAUUUAUUUUUAUUGUAUGCUACGUGAUGCUUCCUCUAGUAUUUGUUAUAUCUCUUUUUUUUUAUGUUCUUAGAUUUGUGACUUAAGCGGUAAGCCAGAGGUCUUUCUUAAACAACUUCUCUUACCUCCGUGAGUUAAAAAUAAAGUUUGCAUACACUCUACUCUCGCCAUAUCCAUCUUUAGAAUUACACAUAUUAUAUAAGAGUACCUGAAAGCAAUUUUGUUGUGAUGAUCAAUGAGUAAAUAGGUGGUUUUGUCCAAGUAAGCAACAAAGAAAGUGAGAAGAAUGUCUAUGGCAAAGAAAGCAUCCACCAAUAAAUCCACAGGCAAAAGGCCUCCACUUGCUGCCUUCUUGAAUGCCAACUCAAAAGGAGAUGACCAUGCUGAGUACACCACCAAUAUCACCAGAAAUGUUUGCCAUAUUCUGUAAUUUUUCACCAUUAAGUAAUAUAUUUAGGAAAAAAAUUAAAGGAGAUGGUCAAAAGUGCCUAUUUUUUCAAUUUUAAAAAGCACUUAUUAUAGAAAAGGAAGGUGUUUGACCAAGGUUUUAAUGAAGAAAUACGUGUUUUUAAUUAGUCGGAUAAGCUGUUUUCAACUUUUAAUCCGAGAUGAAACGCGAUUUCUUUCAAAAUGACACUUAUUUCUAAUGAACACAAAUUAAUCAACUAUUCGUUAUUAUCUCAAUAAGUCAUCGAAAAUGACUUAUGAGAUAAUAACACUACUAUUUACAUAAUCAUUUGAGAAAUCAAAUCACAUGUUUGAGAAAAAAUGGAAGUAAUAAUUACUUAUUACCUGUAUCUACGAUCAUAAGGAGCAAUAACUAAUUUUUUAAGCUUUAGAGUGCCUUCACCCAUUACUGUACCAAAAGCUGGCAAUAGGCUACUUGAAACUGAAGCUAUGUUUCUUAUUUCUCCACUUGACUGCCCUCGCGGCGACGCCGGAGACCUUGUCACCGGCGAUCUUGUCGAUGACAUCUUGGUUAAAAAAAAGUUGGAGUUUUCUUGGUACUUAGUUUGUUGUUUAAGGGGUCGAUUCAUUACCCAUUUUAAUAUAUGGUUUACGUAGAGGAUAUUAUCAUAUUUUAUAUUAUAUGUCCUACUCUAACAAAUCAUUUUUAGCUAAUAGCUGGUUUUUUAAAAAUACAUAUAUAAACCUUGUACAUAUCUUAGGAACGUAGAGUUGAUGUUCUUGGAAGAGUUGAAUAAGUCUUAACAAUCUAGGAUUUAUCACUGUACACAUAUGAAGCAAUAAGUACACGCAAUUAAGGUAAAAUGGUAAGUUUAAAGUCAAAACGAGUAGUCAACACUAAAAAAGUUUAAUUUUUUAAAAUACUGAAAAUAAAAAACUGUAUAAAAAUAAAACAGUAUUAAUAGCAGCAUAUUCAUUUGACCCAUAAAGAAACCCCUUUUCAGCUCUCUUCAUAUCUUGAAGAAUCUACAUAUUAUGGUUCCAAAAAUUAAUAAAAGCCCCUCCUCACAAACACAUAAGUCAAAAGGAGUUUGAGGAGAGGGAGUUGGACCCCAAACUAAUAAAAAUGGAAGUCCAUUCUGUAUCUCUUUAUAUACAAAGAUGGAAAAAAAAACCCGAACAUACGAAAGUCAACCACAAAUCCAGUAACUCUUCAACUUCAUAGCUUCAAGCAACUUCAAAUAUGUUGACACAUAAACAUGUUGUUCAUGCUUUGAUCAAGAGACUUAAAUGCUGACACAGUAAUGUGUGAUGUCAGACGGAACGUUAACUGACUGCAUGCACAUUGGGCAAGCUGGAUGAGAAAUCUGAAACCAGAACGAUGAGCAAUGCUAGAUCCCAAAUGUGAAACCCGGGCACACACUUCUGAACUGAUUGUGCCACUGAGUACGCUAUGUUGCCAAUAUGAAACAAAGCAACCAGCAAAUCUUUGAUGAUGGCAAUGCAUUGUGCUGCAGGAACAAAAAUUCUGCUACUAAGCAACCACCACCUCAAACGAACUUAACACCCUAGAAACGAGACUACAUGUACUGAGCGAGCCAUUGCUUGCACAUAUCAAGAACUGGAUGUGCAUUAGCAUGUAAUGCCUGCAUUAAGAGUCAAAGGCAGAAAGAGAAAUCAGUAAACAAGUGGUAAAGUUAGUAACCCCC
rnacentral:lncRNA from 1 species